GCGGGAGGAAAGAAACCAACAGGGAUUGCCCUAGUAACGGCGAGUGAAGCGGCAACAGCUCAAAUUUGAAAUCUGGCGUCUUCGGCGUCCGAGUUGUAAUUUGCAGAGGGCGCUUUGGCAUUGGCAGCGGUCCAAGUUCCUUGGAACAGGACGUCACAGAGGGUGAGAAUCCCGUACGUGGUCGCUAGCCUUUACCGUGUAAAGCCCCUUCGACGAGUCGAGUUGUUUGGGAAUGCAGCUCUAAAUGGGAGGUAAAUUUCUUCUAAAGCUAAAUACUGGCCAGAGACCGAUAGCGCACAAGUAGAGUGAUCGAAAGAUGAAAAGCACUUUGGAAAGAGAGUUAAAAAGCACGUGAAAUUGUUGAAAGGGAAGCGCUUGCAGCCAGACUUGCCUGUAGUUGCUCAUCCGGGUUUUUACCCGGUGCACUCUUCUAUAGGCAGGCCAGCAUCAGUUUGGGCGGUUGGAUAAAGGUCUCUGUCAUGUACCUCUCUUCGGGGAGAACUUAUAGGGGAGACGACAUGCAACCAGCCUGGACUGAGGUCCGCGCAUCUGCUAGGAUGCUGGCGUAAUGGCUGUAAGCGGCCCGUCUUGAAACACGGACCAAGGAGUCUAACAUCUAUGCGAGUGUUUGGGUGUCAAGCCCGAGCGCGUAAUGAAAGUGAACGGAGGUGGGAACCUUUCGGGGUGCACCAUCGACCGAUCCUGAUGUCUUCGGAUGGAUUUGAGUAAGAGCAUAGCUGUUGGGACCCGAAAGAUGGUGAACUAUGCUUGAAUAGGGUGAAGCCAGAGGAAACUCUGGUGGAGGCUCGCAGCGGUUCUGACGUGCAAAUCGAUCGUCAAAUUUGGGCAUAGGGGCGAAAGACUAAUCGAACUAUCUAGUAG
rnacentral:rRNA from 1 species